rnacentral:rRNA from 1 species
GAUGAACGCUGGCGGCGUGCCUAAUACAUGCAAGUCGAGCGAACAGACGAGGAGCUUGCUCCUCUGACGUUAGCGGCGGACGGGUGAGUAACACGUGGAUAACCUACCUAUAAGACUGGGAUAACUUCGGGAAACCGGAGCUAAUACCGGAUAAUAUAUUGGGCCGCAUGGUUCAAUAGUGAAAGACGGUUUUGCUGUCACUUAUAGAUGGAUCCGCGCCGCAUUAGCUAGUUGGUAAGGUAACGGCUUACCAAGGCGACGAUGCGUAGCCGACCUGAGAGGGUGAUCGGCCACACUGGAACUGAGACACGGUCCAGACUCCUACGGGAGGCAGCAGUAGGGAAUCUUCCGCAAUGGGCGAAAGCCUGACGGAGCAACGCCGCGUGAGUGAUGAAGGUCUUCGGAUCGUAAAACUCUGUUAUUAGGGAAGAACAAAUGUGUAAGUAACUAUGCACGUCUUGACGGUACCUAAUCAGAAAGCCACGGCUAACUACGUG